rnacentral:rRNA from 1 species
CGACGGAACUAGCAAUGAGUUUAGUGGCGCACGGGUGCGUAACGCGUACACAACAUACCUUUUAGUUUGGGAUAGCCUUGGGAAACUGGGUGUAAUACCGAAUAAUAUUGAUUAGAAGCAUUUUUAAUUGAUUAAAGCUCCGGCGCUAGGAGAUUGGUGUGCGUAGGAUUAGGUAGUUGGUGAGGUAACGGCUCACCAAGCCGACGAUCCUUAGGGGGCGUGAGAGCGUGAACCCCCACACGGGUACUGAGACAC